rnacentral:ribozyme from 2 species
UUUUUAAUCAUACCAGUGAUCUAAUAUUCAGAUCACUGACAGUCCUAAGUCUGUAAAAAUGAGAAGGAAAA